GAUGAACGCUGGCGGCGUGCCUAAUACAUGCAAGUCGAGCGAACGGACGAGAAGCUUGCUUCUCUGAUGUUAGCGGCGGACGGGUGAGUAACACGUGGAUAACCUACCUAUAAGACUGGGAUAACUUCGGGAAACCGUAGCUAAUACCGGAUAAUAUUUUGAACCGCAUGGUUCAAAAGUGAAAGACGGUCUUGCUGUCACUUAUAGAUGGAUCCGCGCUGCAUUAGCUAGUUGGUAAGGUAACGGCUUACCAAGGCAACGAUGCAUAGCCGACCUGAGAGGGUGAUCGGCCACACUGGAACUGAGACACGGUCCAGACUCCUACGGGAGGCAGCAGUAGGGAAUCUUCCGCAAUGGGCGAAAGCCUGACGGAGCAACGCCGCGUGAGUGAUGAAGGUCUUCGGAUCGUAAAACUCUGUUAUUAGGGAAGAACAUAUGCGUAAGUAACUGUGCACAUCCUGACGGUACCUAAUCAGAAAGCCACGGCUAACUACGUG
rnacentral:rRNA from 1 species